rnacentral:rRNA from 1 species
AGCGGCGAAAGGGUGAGUAACGCGUGGUUACGUACCCCCGGAACUGGGAUAGCGGUGGGAAACUGCCAUUAAUACCAGAUAAUGUCCAAGGACCAAAGGUGAGAUUCCGUCCGGGGAUCGGACCGCGUGCUAUUAGCUAGUUGGUGAGGUAAUGGCUCACCAAGGCGAAGAUGGCUAGUGGGUGUGAGAGCACGACCCACCACAUUGGGACUGAGACACUGCCCAGACACCUACGGGUGGCUGCAGUCGAGAAUCUUCGGCAAUGGGCGAAAGCCUGACCGAGCGACGCCGCGUGCGGGAUGAAGGCCUUCGGGUUGUAAACCGCUGUCGAGGGGGAACAAAUCCCUAAGGGUAAUCUCUUAGGGUUGAGUGAUCCCUGGAGGAAGGACGGGCUAAGUUCGUGCCAGCAGCCGCGGUAAGACGAACUGUCCAAACGUUAUUCGGUAUCACUGGGCUUAAAGCGUGCGUAGGCUGUCUGAAGGGUGGGGUGUGAAAUCCCUCGGCUCAACCGAGGAACUGCGCUCCAAACCGUCAGACUAGAGGAAUGCAGGGGUAAGCGGAACAGAUGGUGGAGCGGUGAAAUGCGUUGAUAUCAUCUGGAACACCGGUGGCGAAAGCGGCUUACUGGGCGUUUUCUGACGCUGAGGCACGAAAGCUAGGGGAGCAGACGGGAUUAGAUACCCCGGUAGUCCUAGCUGUAAACGAUGAGCACUGGA